UACGAAGGGGACUAGCGUUGUUCGGAAUCACUGGGCGUAAAGCGCACGUAGGCGGGUCUUUAAGUCAGGGGUGAAAUCCUGGAGCUCAACUCCAGAACUGCCUUUGAUACUGAAGAUCUUGAGUUCGGGAGAGGUGAGUGGAACUGCGAGUGUAGAGGUGAAAUUCGUAGAUAUUCGCAAGAACACCAGUGGCGAAGGCGGCUCACUGGCCCGGUACUGACGCUGAGGUGCGAAAGCGUGGGGAGCAAACAGG
rnacentral:rRNA from 1 species